GACGAACGCUGGCGGCGUGCCUGACACAUGCAAGUCGGACGGUUCUUGUAUCUUCAAGCUUGCUUGUUGGUGCAAGGAUAGUGGCGGACGGGUGAGUAACGCGUGAACAUCUACCCAUUGGAGGGGGACAACCCGUCGAAAGGCGGGCUAAUACCGCGUAAGCCGCGAGGUGAGAGGCUGCCUAUUGGUGGCCGCCGAUGGAUGGGUUCGCGUCCUAUCAGCUGGUUGGUGGGGUAACGGCCUACCAAGGCGAAGACGGGUAGCCGGUCUGAGAGGAUGGCCGGCCACACUGGAACUGAGACACGGUCCAGACUCCUACGGGAGGCAGCAGUGGGGAAUAUUGGGCAAUGGGGGAGACCCUGACCCAGCGACGCCGCGUGAGGGACGAAGGUUUUCGGAUCGUAAACCUCUGUUGUACGGGAAGAAGGAUGUGACGGUACCGUACGAGGAAGCCCCGGCAAACUACGUG
rnacentral:rRNA from 1 species